CACGUAUGGGGCGAGCGUUGUUCGGAAUUAUUGGGCGUAAAGGGCAUGCAGGCGGUUUCGUAAGUCUGGUGUGAAAGACCACAGCUUAACUGGGGGAACGCAUGGGAAACUACGAGACUUGAGUACAGGAAGGGGAGUUGGAAUUCCAGGUGUAGGGGUGAAAUCUGUAGAUAUCUGGAAGAACAUCAGUGGCGAAGGCGAACUCCUGGCCAUGUACUGACGCUGAGAUGCGAAAGCGUGGGGAGCGAACAGG
rnacentral:rRNA from 1 species